AGAACGAACGCUGGCGGCAUGCCUAAUACAUGCAAGUCGAACGAACUCUUCGGAGUUAGUGGCGCACGGGUGCGUAACGCGUGGGAAUCUGCCCCUUGGUUCGGAAUAACAGUUGGAAACGACUGCUAAUACCGGAUGAUGACGAAAGUCCAAAGAUUUAUCGCCAAGGGAUGAGCCCGCGUAGGAUUAGCUAGUUGGUGAGGUAAAGGCUCACCAAGGCAACGAUCCUUAGCUGGUCUGAGAGGAUGAUCAGCCACACUGGGACUGAGACACGGCCCAGACUCCUACGGGAGGCAGCAGUAGGGAAUAUUGGACAAUGGGCGAAAGCCUGAUCCAGCAAUGCCGCGUGAGUGAUGAAGGCCUUAGGUUGUAAAGCUCUUUUACCCGAGAUGAUAAUGACAGUAUCGGAAGAAUAAGCCCCGGAUAACGUCCGUGACCAGCAAGCCGAC
rnacentral:rRNA from 1 species